ensembl:lncRNA LINC00963 long intergenic non-protein coding RNA 963
GCAGCUGUGUCAGGUCAAACAGUGGGUGGGAAUCACGAGGCUGGAGCCCAGCUGAUCAGGAAGGCCGUCGAGUGCCAGGUUGAGAGCUGGGACUUAUCCCCAGGCAGGGAGGCCUAUUGGGAGACUGCUCUGAGAGUCCAGGCAAGUGGGGCUGUGUUGACUGUGAGGAUGUGGAAUGGAGUGGGGCUGGAGGACUGGAGAGGCCCUCAAGAGUUGUAGAAAGAGGGUCUCCUCUGAUGUGGAGCUGGCCUGCAAGUGUGAUGCUGUUCCAGACAGAGAGAACAGCAUGGACAAAGGCUUUCUUUUUUUUUUUUUUUUUUUUCAGACGGAGUCUCACUCUGUCACCAGGCUGGAGUACAGUGGUGUGAUCUCGGCUCACUGCAACCUCCGCCUCCCAGGUUCAAGCGAUUCUCCUGCCUCAGCCUCUCAAGUAGCUGAGAUUACAGACGGUUUCACCAUGUUGGCCAGGCUGGUGUCGAACUCCCGACCUCAGGUGAUUGUCGGCCUUGGCCUCCCAAAGUGCUGGGAUUA